GAUGAACGCUGGCGGCGUGCCUAAUACAUGCAAGUCGAGCGAACGGACGAGAAGCUUGCUUCUCUGAUGUUAGCGGCGGACGGGUGAGUAACACGUGGAUAACCUACCUAUAAGACUGGGAUAACUUCGGGAAACCGGAGCUAAUACCGGAUAAUAUUUUGAACCGCAUGGUUCAAAAGUGAAAGACGGUCUUGCUGUCACUUAUAGAUGGAUCCGCGCUGCAUUAGCUAGUUGGUAAGGUAACGGCUUACCAAGGCAACGAUGCAUAGCCGACCUGAGAGGGUGAUCGGCCCCACUGGAACUGAGACACGGUCCAGACUCCUACGGGAGGCAGCAGUAGGGAAUCUUCCGCAAUGGGCGACAGCCUGACGGAGCAACGCCGCGUGAGUGAUGAAGGUCUUCGGAUCGUAAAACUCUGUUAUUAGGGAAGAACAUAUGUGUAAGUAACUGUGCACAUCUUGACGGUACCUAAUCAGAAAGCCACGGCUAACUACGUG
rnacentral:rRNA from 1 species